ensembl:lncRNA
AUGCAUUUAUUUGCCAGUUUUGUAGCUAACAACAUCAUGAACUAUCAGAAGUCUUACCUGGAAGAGUCAGCUCAAUUAAAGAUGGCCGCUGCAGGUACCAGAUCUGCCCAGAAAACUGUGCCUGCCAAUGACAUCACGCUACACGAUUGGCAGAGAGGAUUUAGAGGAUUUGGUUGGUCUGGGCAACUUACAGAAGUAGUUUUUACAGGUUUUAGAAACGGACACGUCUUUUUUGGUGGCACUGCUCCUUCGCAUAAAUGUUUUGGAAGCAGGUUAGUCAUAAUUCCCAUAUCUUUAAGGAUUUUAUGUGACAUGACUGAACAGAAUGGGGUGACAGGACAGGGUGUGACAGUACGCAAGACGCUCCUCGGGGCGCUUCUUGCUUGGGCCUCUCUCCUGGAGGCGCUCAGUCAGACCGCUUGUUGACAUGUCUUAGUUAUUUUUGUCCCUCACAGGCCACUAUUACAUUUAUAAUUACCACCACAGCAAUAGAGGUAUUCAAUGCUUAUUUCUUUUACAAUUAACAAUGAAUCCAAAACCAUUUUAUUACACACACUCUAACUCAGGGUCAGGGUUUCAGUUUUCAGGGUACAGCUGUGUCCAGAUUCAGGAGCAUGAACCCGGUCCACGUAGGCCGGGUCCUUCCCCUGAGACAGGAAGUGAGCAGCUGAAUUUGAACAUUUAUUACUGUGCCCACCUCAGAGGUAGCAACCGUGACAGAACUAAACAGAAUUAAAACUAAACGUAGUUUUUUUUAACUGCCAGAUUUUAUCAUAGUAAAAACUAAAACUGUAAUCCUCUCUAGCUUUGUCUAUUGAGAAGAAAACAUUCCUGUUCGGCUUACGGUGGAUCCCCAAAUAGGGUUAGUCAGUAAGGGUGCACCAGAUGUGUCCUUUAUAUGCCAGGACACAUUCUAAGUAUCUUUCGAGGUUUGACAGCCUUGUUACUUUGCUGGGAUGUAGUCGGCCUUCAAAUCCAUACUUAGAAGAAUGCAGCCUAUGUUUAUUUGUCUCUAAGCUGCCAUGAAACCAGAAUUUAGCUCAAUAUACAAUUGUAAGAGAUAUAUCCUUCAGGGUCCAUAGUUGUGACCAUUUUUAUUUUUACUGACUCAAAAGGUUAAUCAGGAUGGAUGUGCACAAUCACACUGCUGCACACAAAGACCAUUAUUGCCCAAAAUAAAAAAAGUUUCUGCACAGAUUCAGUACAACAUGAACUCACACCAUUAAGUAAAUGUUACUUUUAGAUUGCGUAAGCUGUACUUCUUUCUACCUUUCUUUUCCCUUCAAUUCAAUUCAAUUCCAGAUUAUUUAUAAAGCGCCAAAUCACAACGAGGGGCGUCUCAAGGCACUUCACAUAUUAAACAUUCCAAUUCAGGUCAGUUCAUAAAGCCAAUCAGAAAAACGUUUCCUAUAUAAGGAACCCAGCAAACUGCAUAAAGUCACUGACUAGUAUCAGUGACUUUACAGCAAUCCUCAUACUGAGCAAGCAUAAAGCGACAGUGGAGAGGAAAACUCCCUUUUAACAGGAAGAAACCUCCAGAGAAUCCCGGCUCAGUAUAAGCAGCCAUCCUCCACGACUCACUGGGGAUCGAGAAGACAGAGCACGCACGCACGCACNNNNNNNNNNNNNNNNNNNNNNNNNNNNNNNNNNNNNNNNNNNNNNNNNNNNNNNNNNNNNNNNNNNNNNNNNNNNNNNNNNNNNNNNNNNNNNNNNNNNNNNNNNNNNNNNNNNNNNNNNNNNNGUGUGUGUGUGUGUGUGUGUGUGUGUGUGUGUGUGUGUGUGUGUGUGUGUGUGUGUGUGUGUUUGUGUGUGUGUGUGUGUGAUGUGUUGGGUUUCCACCUGGCUGCAGAGAGUUUGUUAACAUCCACAGCAGUAACUUCAAAACUAUCUCCUAACUCUUGUUCAAACUGUUUUUUUUUUUUAUUUUGUCUCCCAGCUGCCAAGCUGGAGUUCUUUUGGGGACUCAAGAAGAAUUACCUGAUCCUUUAAAAAGAAAGGAGACAAGGAGAGAAUAGAGCAAGAAACUUCCGUGGACCCUGUCCAACAGGAGAACAGAGUCAGCUCUGCAGCUAGAGAAGCUGGUUGUUAGGAAUGUGGAGAGAACGAGUAGCAGUGGAGCUGAGAGAGGUUGGAGGAGAGGCUGGCUCUCAUGCAGAGGGAGGGAAGGGCUUUUCAGAGAGCAUGGAGCUCUGUUCACUCUGCACACACACACACACACACGUGCGCACACAUACACACACAUACACUACAAAGCUGUUCUUAGGCUGAAACAGAAGAGGGGAACAGCGGAGAGGACGCCACGCUUGCUGAGUAAGUCAUGUCUUUGCUGACUGUUUGUGGGGAGAUUUUUGUUUUGUUUGCAACAAAAACUGGUUGUUUAUGUGUGUCAGCUCUAGUUGUGUGUUUAAAGUAAAAAAGAUUGGUGUGUCAUUACUUUUAUUUGCUGCAAGUCUCUUUUUGUGCUCUAACUCAUCUGUUUUCUGCUGAUUAAAACCACAUGGAUCACACACACACACACACACACACACACACACACACACACACACACACACACACACACACACACACACACACACACACACACACACACUAUCUUGUUUACGCCUGUUAGAAAUAAUAAAACAGAUAAUAGCAGAAGAAUCCUCACAUUAACUCUCAUCAGUAAUUUGCUUUUUUCCUCAUUAUUAAAAAACUUUUCCCCCUUUUUCGUUGAUUUCCUGCUCACUCUCACUCUCCCUG